rnacentral:rRNA from 1 species
UAGGGAAUCUUCCACAAUGGACGCAAGUCUGAUGGAGCAACGCCGCGUGAGUGAAGAAGGUUUUCGGAUCGUAAAGCUCUGUUGUUGGUGAAGAAGGAUAGAGGCAGUAACUGGUCUUUAUUUGACGGUAAUCAACCAGACAGUCACGGCUAACUACGUGCCAGCAGCCGCGGUAAUACGUAGGUGGCAAGCGUUGUCCGGAUUUAUUGGGCGUAAAGCGAGCGCAGGCGGAAUGAUAAGUCUGAUGUGAAAGCCCACGGCUCAACCGGGGAACUGCAUCGGAAACUGUCAUUCUUGAGGGCAGAAGAGGAGAGUGGAAUUCCAGGUGUAGCGGUGGAAUGCGUAGAUAUAUGGAAGAACACCAGUGGAGAAGGCGGCUCUCUGGUCUGCAACUGACGCUGAGGAUCGAAAGCAUGAGUAGCGAACAGG